GCCAUCUACACACCGCCCGUCACACCAUGGGAGUGGGUUGCAAAAGAAGUAGGUAGCUUAACCUUCGGGAGGGCGCUUACCACUUUGUGAUUCAUGACUGGGGUGAAGUCGUAACAAGGUAACCGUAGGGGAACCUGCGGUUGGAUCACCUCCUUA
rnacentral:rRNA from 1 species